GUCCUCAAUGCUGCUCUAUGAGGAGCACUGGAUUGCACCAUCACUCUUUUGGUAAAACUGGCAAGUAACAGUCUUGUCAGUGAGAAUACUCUGCCAUGAAUAUAAUAGAAUAUAAUGCUAUAUCUCUGUCAUUUGCAUACAACAUAAGCAGAGGCCACAAGUAGUACAGGGAAAGAGAAAUUUAGUGUGAAAGGGGGUAAUGAGAAGAAGUAAUAAAGUGGUUGAAGGGUAUGUACAGAGAGACUCAGGUGGAGAAAGGGGUUAUGG